CCCGCUGAACUUAAGCAUAUCAAUAAGCGGAGGAAAAGAAACUAACAAGGAUUCCCCUAGUAACGGCGAGUGAAGCGGGAUGAGCUCAAAUUUAAAAUCUGGCUGGUUUACUAGUCCGAAUUGUAGUUUAUAGAAGCGUUUUCGGUGGCAGCCUGGGUAUAAAUCCUUUGGAAUAGGGUAUCAUAGAGGGUGAGAAUCCCGUCUUUGACUCAGUGCAUGCUACUAUGUGAUACGUUUUCAAAGAGUCGAGUUGUUUGGGAAUGCAGCUCAAAAUGGGUGGUAAAUUUCAUCUAAAGCUAAAUAUUGGCGAGAGACCGAUAGCGAACAAGUACCGUGAGGGAAAGAUGAAAAGAACUUUGAAAAGAGAGUUAAACAGUACGUGAAAUUGUUGAAAGGGAAACGCUUGAAGUCAGUCGUGUCUUCUAGGGAUCAAGUUGCCUUUGGGUGACCGCACUUCCUGGUUGAUGGGUCAGCAUCAAUUUUGACCGUUGGAUAAAGGCCUAAGGAAUGUGGCAUCUUCGGAUGUGUUAUAGACUUGGGUUGGAUACAACGAUCGGGAUUGAGGAACUCAGUGUGCCUUCAUGGUUGGGGCUUAGGCCUACAUUACACACUUAGGAUGCUGGCAUAAUGGCUUUAAUCGACCCGUCUUGAAACACGG
rnacentral:rRNA from 1 species